rnacentral:rRNA from 1 species
AAUCUUGCGCAAUGGGCGAAAGCCUGACGCAACCAUGCCGUGUGAAUGAUGAAGGGCUUAGGUUUGUAAAAUUCUUUCACCGGGGACGUUAAUGACGGUACCCGGAGAGGAAACCCCUGCUAACUUCGUGUCAUCGGCCGCGGUAAUACGAAGGGUGCUAGCAUUGCUCGGAAUUACUGGGCGUAAAGGGCGCGUAGGCGGAUCGUUAAGUCAGGGGUGAAAUCCCGGGGCCCAACCUCGGAACUGCCCUUGAUACUGGCGAUCUUGAGUAUGAGAGAGGUAUGUGGAACUCCGAGUGUAGAGGUGAAAUUCGUAGAUAUUCGGAAGAACACCAGUGGCGAAGGCGACAUACUGGCUCAUUACUGACGCUGAGGCGCGAAAGCGUGGGGAGCAAACA